rnacentral:lncRNA from 1 species
CCGUCCAUUAGGCUGAAUCUGAUGAUAAAAGGGGGUAGUCGUACACUAGACUACACUUCAGAAAUGUACCGUACACUAGGUAGCAUCUGAGGAGACGAAGGUCUAAUUGGGUCGUACAUUAGACCGUAUCUGAGCAGAAUGAGCCGUCCAUUAGGCUGAAUCUGAUGAUAAAAGGGGGUAGUCGUACACUAGACUACACUUCAGAAAUGUACCGUACACUAGGUAGCAUCUGAG